rnacentral:rRNA from 1 species
UACGAAGGGGGCUAGCGUUGCUCGGAAUCACUGGGCGUAAAGGGUGCGUAGGCGGGUCUUUAAGUCAGAGGUGAAAUCCUGGAGCUCAACUCCAGAACUGCCUUUGAUACUGGCGAUCUUGAGUCCGGGAGAGGUGAGUGGAACUGCGAGUGUAGAGGUGAAAAUUCGUAGAUAUUCGCAAGAACACCAGUGGCGAAGGCGGCUCACUGGCCCGGUACUGACGCUGAGGUGCGAAAAGCGUGGGGAGCAAACAGG